rnacentral:rRNA from 1 species
GACGAAGGUGGCGAGCGUUGUUCGGAAUCACUGGGCAUAAAGCGCACGUAGGCGGUGACGUAAGUCGGGUGUGAAAUCCCUCGGCCUAACCGAGGAACUGCGCCCGAUACUGCGUUGCUUGAGGACCAGAGGGGUGCAUGGAAUUUCCGGUGGAGCGGUGAAAUGCGUUGAUAUCGGAAGGAACUCCGGCGGCGAAAGCGAUGCACUGGCUGGUUUCUGACGC